CCGAGAAGUGGGAGGGGAUCGGGUGAGGGGUGGUCUCUGAGGAGGAGCCAGGCUGGACCUUAUUGUUCCGCGCUCGGCCGGGGAGGGCGCGGGGCGUUCGGCUUCCCAUGUUCCUCUCCCCGCCCCCGCCCCGUGGGCGCGAGAGGAGGCUGGGGGCUCCUUGUGCACCCGAGACGCCGCUGCCUGGCUCGCCGGGUGGGGUGUGGGUCCUCCGAGCGGUGCCGGGAAGGAGGUGCUCUCUGCCCGCGCUCCCAGGACUGCUCUACCCAGGGCGGGGGUCCGGAGUGGGCCGACCCCCGCAGCGCCCUGGGUUGGCGGGCCCAGAGGCUGAAGGCAGCGAGGAGCUAGGGUCCUUCACCCUCGUCGCAUGCCUCACCAGGAGUCGGCGUCCCAGUUCCCCGCGAUGGCCGCGGGCCGCUGCCGUACGGAGACGCCGCGCGGACUCCGGAGCGCCCCUUCCUAGCGGGGCGCAGCUUUUUCUUGUCCCCCGCCGGGCCAGCGGGAUGGGGGGCGGAGGGUCGGUCCUGAAGGUCUGCGCGGACCACCGCGGGGGCAUCAACUGGCUGAGCCUGAGCCCCGACGGGCAGCGCCUGCUGACGGGCAGCGAGGACGGCACGGCCCGGCUCUGGAGCACCGCCGACGGCCAGUGCUGCGCGCUCCUGCAAGGACACGAAAGCUAUGUGACCUUCUGCCAGCUGGAGGAUGAGGCUGCCUUCACAUGCAGCGCCGACUGCACCAUCAGGAGGUGGGACGUGCUCACCGGGCAGUGUCUGCAGGUGUACCGAGGACACACAUCCAUUGUGAACAGGAUCCUGGUUGCCAACAACCAGCUCUUCAGCAGCUCCUACGACCGGACAGCUCGGGUCUGGAGCGUGGACAAGGGGCAGAUGUCCCGGGAGUUCCGGGGCCACCGAAACUGCGUGCUGCCUCUAGCCUACUCUGCCCCGUGGGACUUCCCCAGCGCUCCCUGUGUGGAGGAGGCCGUGGCUGGGGGGCUCCUGGUGACUGGCAGCACGGACGGCACGGCCAAGGUAUGGCAGGUGGCCAGCGGCUGCUGCCACCAGACACUGCGGGGCCACACGGGCGCAGUGCUGUGCCUGGUGCUGGACACGCCCGGCCACACGGCCUUCACGGGUAGCACCGACGCCACCAUCCGUGCCUGGGACAUCCUGAGUGGGGAGCAGCUGCGGGUGUUCCGGGAGCACCAGGGCUCCGUCAUCUGUCUGGAGCUGGUGAACCGACUCGUGUACUCUGGCAGCGCGGACAGGACCGUCAAGUGCUGGCUGGCAGACACCGGGGAGUGUGUGCGCACGUUCACGGCCCACAGACGCAACGUGAGCGCCCUCAAGUACCACGCGGGCACCUUGUUCACGGGCAGCGGGGACGCUUGCGCCCGGGCCUUCGACGCGCAGUCUGGAGAGCUGCGGAGGGUGUUCCGGGGCCACACAUUCAUCAUCAACUGCAUCCAGGUGCACGGCCAGGUGCUCUACACCGCCUCGCACGACGGCGCCCUGCGCCUCUGGGACGUGCGCGGGCUCCGAGGUGCCCCGCGGCCCCCUCCGCCCACGCGCAGCCUCUCACGCCUCUUCAGCAACAAGGUGCCAGGAGAGAAGCUGCAGGUGACAGUGUCUGCCGUGAAGAGCUCAUCAUCUCGCUGCAGAGAGAAGCAUCUGCUGCAGGAGCAGCCCCUUCAAGUGGAGCAGCCCUUUCAGGUCUUGUGCCAGGUCUUGCUGCGACCCGGAACCACUGGGGCCUGUGGCUGCCGCAAGGGGCGUGUCUACCAGAGAGGAGCUUUCCAUCGUGCUGAAGGGACGGUUCCGGAGGUGCAGGCCAGAGAACCGCCUUGAGUGCUGCCUGCGGGCAGUGCUGCCGGCCGGCCCUGAGCCUGUGCAGACGCUGGCACUGACUCCUGCCUGCCGAAGACACUGUUGCUUGGUGAUGCUGCACUCUGGCCUGAGCAGCCCCUCACUGAUAUGUCAGCUCCAGUCCCCACCUUAUCCAACCACAUCAGAGAAUGGAGCACGCAUCAAGCCAUCCAGAGAAACCAAAUGGGGUGCGGACCCAAAUCACGGGCGCUGCACUCACUCAGCAUUUUUAUAGCAACACACAUUGGGGUAAUUUCUACUUCCACCGCACAGAGAGCUUUGCGAGAUGCUGAGGACAUAAAGACAGCCAGAUGUCCAUUCUCUCUCUGGUUUCUGAGAGCCAGAGAGACAUGUAUCAUCCAUUUAAGAAGAAUGACAAGAAGUUUCCCAUCAGUCCAAACUGGACCACUCACGCUUUAUGAAAAGGUUAGAGCAUUUCAGC